ACCCACUUACAAAAAAUCCAAUUUAAUUUUUCGCUGCUCAAGUCACAAAACUAUUGACAAUGAAGACAAACCCGGAUCAAAUAAAACCACAAGUCUUCCAUUAUCCUAGAAAAACUAUGAAAUUUCGCGUUCGCAUUCACACUAGCUGAGUAACGGGUAUCUGAUAGUUGGGCAACUCGACUGUAGCAUUCUCUCUUGUUUUAUCUGAGGUCCACCCAAAUAAUACGCCUCUAAGAGAAGGAAUUGAACAACAUUGUAAAUGAACCAACACCACCAAAAACGAAACAGGACGUAGAAGAUUAAUUGCCCUUCAUACCUAAAAUAUUGGAAAUGUAAAGCGACAGCUAACUGAGCUCGCCAACCGUUGAAAUCCGACGAACAUAGCGUAAGGCUCGUGUGGUUGUUUGAAGAUAUUCCAAGACGCACGCGCAAAGGUCCACCUGCUCCUUGUCGGUUAUGUGGGUGGUGCUCUUGUCCUGGAAUCUCAGCCUUAUUUCAUUGUGACGAUUAUCGAUAUGAUUGCGUGCUACGAGCUUUCGCUCGAUCCUCAACUGUGGUGAAGGAUCAUGUAAUGCCCGUCCUUCCUUGGCCAUUCUAUACAGAAAAUCCCAAAAAGUUAUCAUCCUGAAUGGCCCCUCACAGGGAAUACAUCCUAGUCAGAGUUUUUUUACAGCUAUUAUACGGACGGAAGGAUGAUCUCCUUGGAAAAUAAUUAAAUUAGACAAAAUAGUUUUAGAUUUAAGAAACUUAUCAGACUUGCACCCCAAGAAAUAAUUAAAAAUAAAAUAAAUUGCUCU